rnacentral:rRNA from 1 species
UACGUAGGGGGCUAGCGUUGUCCGGAAUCAUUGGGCGUAAAGCGCGCGUAGGCGGCCCGGUAAGUCCGCUGUGAAAGUCAAAGGCUCAACCUUUGAAUGCCGCUGGAAACUGUCUGGCUAGAGUCCGGAAGGGGCGAGUGGAAUUCCUGGUGUAGCGGUGAAAUGCGCAGAUAUCAGGAGGAACACCUAUGGCGAAGGCAGCUCGCUGGGACGGUACUGACGCUGAGGCGCGAAAGCGUGGGGAGCGAACAGG